ACGAACGCUGGCGGCGUGCCUAAUACCUGCAAGUUGAGCGCUGAAGGUUGGUACUUGUACCAACUGGAUGAGCAGCGAACGGGUGAGUAACGCGUGGGGAAUCUGCCUUUGAGCGGGGGACAACAUUUGGAAACGAAUGCUAAUACCGCAUAAAAACUUUAAACACAAGUUUUAAGUUUGAAAGAUGCAAUUGCAUCACUCAAAGAUGAUCCCGCGUUGUAUUAGCUAGUUGGUGAGGUAAAGGCUCACCAAGGCGAUGAUACAUAGCCGACCUGAGAGGGUGAUCGGCCACAUUGGGACUGAGACACGGCCCAAACUCCUACGGGAGGCAGCAGUAGGGAAUCUUCGGCAAUAGACGAAAGUCUGACCGAGCAACGCCGCGUGAGUGAAGAAGGUUUUCGGAUCGUAAAACUCUGUUGGUAGAGAAGAACGUUGGUGAGAGUGGAAAGCUCAUCAAGUGACGGUAACUACCCAGAAAGGGACGGCUAACUACGUG
rnacentral:rRNA from 1 species